rnacentral:piRNA from 1 species
UGCGUGUCGUCUCCUGACCAGAGAGGCCAUC